GAUACAAAAUUUUUUAUACAAAAUUCUAGUGAAUAGUAAUGAUAUUCUAUGCUCUUGGUCCCCCAUUCAGCUUGCUGCUCGGCAGACCGCUCCCCUCGUCCCACUGUAAGUACGUUACUGCAUUAGAUAAAGUAAGAAUGAAAAAAACUAUAUUCCAAUUCACGAUUUUUCUAUUCUUAUUGAACAUUAUAAAGUGCGUAUUAUUUUGGAAUAAUGUAUACAGUAUAGUAUGUUAUGAAUUAAUAUGUACAUUUUAGAGUGCGAUUUUAGUUUACUUAAUCAAAAUUUUAAAUAGAAUAUAUUGGAAUAUUAUUACAUUUAAAGCAAUGGUCUCAAACUCUCGGCCCAAUACGCCCUUUCUUGGCUUUGGUCGAACUUUUAUUAUAUUUGGAAGAACAUUUAGAAAAUAGCCUACUGUGUUCAGAAAAAAAUUGCAAUAAUUUUUCAUGAAAU
rnacentral:lncRNA from 1 species